UACGAAGGGGGCUAGCGUUGCUCGGAAUCACUGGGCGUAAAGCGCACGUAGGCGGAUCUUUAAGUCAGGGGUGAAAUCCUGGAGCUCAACUCCAGAACUGCCUUUUGAUACUGAGGAUCUUGAGUCCGGGGAGAGGUGAGUGGAACUCCGAGUGUAGAGGUGAAAUUCGUAGAUAUUCGGAAGAACACCAGUGGCGAAGGCGGCUCACUGGCCCGGUACUGACGCUGAGGUGCGAAAGCGUGGGGAGCAAACAGGAUUAGAAACCCCGGGUGA
rnacentral:rRNA from 1 species